rnacentral:rRNA from 1 species
UGGGGAAUAUUGCACAAUGGGCGCAAGCCUGAUGCAGCCAUGCCGCGUGUGUGAAGAAGGCCUUCGGGUUGUAAAGUACUUUCAGCGGGGAGGAAGGGAGUAAAGUUAAUACCUUUGCUCAUUGACGUUACCCGCAGAAGAAGCACCGGCUAACUCCGUGCCAGCAGCCGCGGUAAUACGGAGGGUGCAAGCGUUAAUCGGAAUUACUGGGCGUAAAGCGCACGCAGGCGGUUUGUUAAGUCAGAUGUGAAAUCCCCGGGCUCAACCUGGGAACUGCAUUCGAAACUGGCAGGCUAGAGUCUUGUAGAGGGGGGUAGAAUUCCAGGUGUAGCGGUGAAAUGCGUAGAGAUCUGGAGGAAUACCGGUGGCGAAGGCGGCCCCCUGGACAAAGACUGACGCUCAGGUGCGAAAGCGUGGGGAGCAAACAGG